AAAAUUCAGACUAGCCCAAAGACUGAAAAACCUCUCUCCCGCUAAAUUCAACAAAAACUCUUUCUCUCUCUAAAACCCUUUUCACUUUCUCUCUCUACAGACUUCUCUCAUCUUCUUCGUUAUCCCUGGUUUUCCAUUAACAGCGAUGAGAGAAGAAGAGAUCGAAAAGCUUCGUGGAGUAGUCAGGGACUGUGUCACCAAGCAUCUCUACUCUUCCGCCAUUUUCUUCUCAGACAAGGUCGCUGCCUUCACCAAUGACCCAGCCGAUAUUUACAUGCAAGCUCAAGCUCUCUUCCUUGGCCGUCGUUACCGUCGCGCUUAUCAUCUCCUUAAUGCCUCUCAGAUCGUUCUCCGUGACCUUCGCUUUCGUUAUCUAGCAGCUAAAUGUCUCGAGGAAUUGAGAGAAUGGGAUCAAUGUUUACUAAUGCUUGGAGAAGCUAAAGUGGAUGAACAUGGGAAUGUCUAUGAUACAAAAGCUUCAAAUGCAUUGUACUUGGAUAAAUACGGGGAAGAUCGCGAAAUUGAUAUAUCUUCUGCAAUAUGCUUUUUGAGAGGCAGGGCAUAUGAAGCUUUGGAAAAUCGUGUCCAAGCUCGACAGUGGUAUAAAGCUGCUAUCAAGGCCGAUCCUUUAUGUUAUGAGGCUCUGGAAUGUCUUAUUGAAAACCACAUGCUUUCUAACGAGGAAGAAACAAGUCUUGUUUCCUCAUUGCACUUCGGUCCUGAAGAUGGAUGGCUGUCAUCAUUCUAUUCCUGUUUAAUAAAAAAGUAUGACAAAGAAUAUGUCGUUGAAGCCAAAUUCAAAGAACUCGAGAAAGAAAGUUGUAGUAGUAAUUCUUCUGAUUCCUCUUUCAAGUGCUCUCUCAAAAACAACACUGAUCUUUUGGCCUGCAAAGCUGAAUACUACCACCAGUGUGGUGAAUAUCAAAAAUGCUUUGAACUAACCUCCAAACUCCUUGAAAAGGACCCUUUCCAUCUGAAGAGUACAUUGGUACAUCUUGCAGCUGCUAUGGAGCUUGGCCAUUCAAAUGAGCUCUAUCUGAUGGCAUGCAAUCUUGUUAAGGAUUAUCCUCAAAAGGCUUUGUCAUGGUUUGCUGUUGGUUGCUAUUACUAUUGCAUCAAGAAGUAUGUCCAGUCGCGCAGUUAUUUCAGUAAGGCUACCAGUCUGGAUGGAACCUUUCCUCCUGCAUGGAUAGGCUAUGGUAAUGCUUUUGCUGCUCUAGAAGAAGGUGAUCAAGCAAUGUCAGCAUAUCGGACUGCUGCUCGUCUCUUUCCAGGGUGCCAUUUGCCAACUCUGUACAUUGGGAUGGAGUAUAUGCGAACCCGCAGUUAUAAACUUGGAGAGCAGUUUUUUAUGCAGGCUAAGAGUAUUUGCCCAUCGGAUCCGCUUGUAUAUAAUGAAUUAGGAGUUGUUGCUUAUCAUAUGAAGGAUUAUACUAAAGCUAUACGGUGGUUUGAACAAACACUGGCUUGCAUUCCUUCUCCUCUAAGUGAAAUGUGGGAACCGACUAUCGUUAAUCUUGCCCAUGCAUUCAGAAAAUUAAAGCUAUACGAUGAAGCAAUUUCAUACUACGAAAAAGCACUUGCAUUAUCAUCAAAAAGUUUGAGCACUUAUGCAGGUCUUGCAUAUACCUAUCAUCUGCAGGAUAACUAUACUGCCGCAAUUACAUACUAUCACAAAGCGUUGUGGUUGAAAUCUGAUGAUCAGUUCUGCACCGAAAUGUUGAGUAUAGCUCUAGUAGAUGAGUGUCGGAGUAGCGUAGACGCUGCUUAAGUUGAGUUCUGGUGAAACGAGGCUUACUUCUUAUGGUGUGCUGCUGGUAUUAAUUCUGCUUAACUUUGUCCCAUUUCAAAGCAAAGUAGAAAGACACUUGUUGAGUAGAAACUAUAACACCAAGUUUAAUGGGAUUAAUUUGGCACUGAAACUCAUAUUCUGUCUGUUACUUUUGCAAUCUUUUGCUGCACUGAGUUGAGUUGAAGCUGUAGUUGAAUGGUAAACAGACAAAAGUUUGUAUAUUUUAUCUCACAUAUCUUUUUAAGCAGAUACAUGUUGAUAUAUAAUGGUUCAUUUUGGACAAACUGCUUCUUUUGUAAUAGUGUUUGUGUAUUGGACUUAUAAAUACUCAAAAAUUAGGUUUACCAAGUUUAAAACCAAAAUCAAGUUUGUAAUAGUGUACGGGUAGGGAUGCAUAUUUAUCCUAUGGGGAUGGGGCCCCGUUUAGACUCGCCCCUAAUGGGGUAGGGAUUCUCGGGGGACAAGACGGGGAUGGUGAUUAUUUUUUGUCUUUGAAUGUUAAACGAGGUAGGAAUUUGGACAGGGAUGGAGAUGAGGACCCGUCUAAUGUUUUAGUUAUAUUUUUAAUAAUAUUUUAUAAUUUAUGUC